UACGGAUGGGGCUAGCGUUGUUCGGAAUUACUGGGCGUAAAGCGCACGUAGGCGGCUUUGCAAGUUAGAGGUGAAAGCCCAGGGCUUAACCCUGGAAUUGCCUUUAAAACUGCAUCGCUAGAAUUGUGGAGAGGUAAGUGGAAUUCCGAGUGUAGAGGUGAAAUUCGUAGAUAUUCGGAAGAACACCAGUGGCGAAGGCGACUUACUGGACACAUAUUGACGCUGAGGUGCGAAAGCGUGGGGAGCAAACAGG
rnacentral:rRNA from 1 species